ACCGUUGAAAAUGGAGUGCUCAAGAAAUGUGUCUUAGCGGUAACCCUCAAGCCCCAGCCUUGAGUUCAGCCAACUGCAGACUUCGUUCAUCUCUUUUGGGACCGUGUAAUGGCCGAGCCUGCAAAUAAUGCUAUAUUGGAACUUUUUUCCAGGAUCAUCAUGGAUGAGCUUCUUAUGGAGGAGGUUCUGAUAGCAGAGCAUUACAGAUUUUCAAAUAUUUGGUGCGAGGAAUAGAUUCUACAGCUGAAAAAGAUCAUUUUGACAACACGCUCACCACUAAGUGGCUACACAGAGGUCAGAUGUUUAAAUAGAGUGACAGCAUGCCCCAUUCCUCAUAUGGGAUGAUGGGAUGAUGGGAUGAUGGGAUGAUGGGAUGAUGGGAUGAUGGGAUGAUGGGAUGAUGGGAUGAGCCUCUCCAACCCAGCUAAAGGAUAUCUUUCUUCUAUCUUCACCUUGUGUCUAGACUAGAUAUAAUGAAAGCAUAAUAUCACUAGGCAGGAAGCUGGUGCAAAUCCAUUGACUAGACAUUUGUGAACCACAGCUCAGUAAACUCAUUUUCUGUCCUACAAUAUUUUUUUAUGUUCCUAAGUGUCUAAGCUAAAGUUAUUCUCACGAGAUUAAUUAUUUGGUCUUAUUA